rnacentral:rRNA from 1 species
CCUACGGGUGGCAGCAGUGGGGAAUAUUGCACAAUGGGGGAAACCCUGAUGCAGCGACGCCGCGUGAGUGAAGAAGUAUUUCGGUAUGUAAAGCUCUAUCAGCAGGGAAGAAAAUGACGGCACCUGAUUAAGAAGCCCCGGCUAACUACGUGCCAGCAGCCGCGGUAAUACGUAGGGGGCAAGCGUUAUCCGGAUUUUCUGGGUGGAAAGGGAGCGUAGACGGCAGCACAAGUCUGGAGUGAAAUGCCGGGGCUUAACCCCGGAACUGCUUUGGAAACUGUGCAGCUAGAGUGCGGGAGAGGUAGGUGGAAUUCCUGGUGUAGCGGUGAAAUGCGUAGAUAUUAGGAGGAACACCGGUGGCGAAGGCAGCUUACUGGACUGUAACUGACGUUGAGGCUCGAAAGCGUGGGGAGCAAACAGGAUUAGAUACCCUAGUAGUC